AAUAGAUACCCUGGUAGUCCACGCCGUAAACGUUGGGCACUAGGUGUGGGAUCUUUCCAACGGAUUCCGUGCCGUAGCUAACGCAUUAAGUGCCCCGCCUGGGGAGUACGGCCGCAAGGCUAAAACUCAAAGGAAUUGACGGGGGGCCCGCACAAGCGGCGGAGCAUGUUGCUUAAUUCGAGGCAACGCGAAGAACCUUACCUGGGCUUGACAUGCUGGGAAAAGCCACAGAGAUGUGGUGUCCUUCGGGGCCCGAGCACAGGUGGUGCAUGGCUGUCGUCAGCUCGUGUCGUGAGAUGUUGGGUUAAGUCCCGCAACGAGCGCAACCCUUGUCCUAUGUUGCCAGCGGGUAAUGCCGGGGACUCGUAGGAGACUGCCGGGGUCAACUCGGAGGAAGGUGGGGACGACGUCAAGUCAUCAUGCCCCUUAUGUCCAGGGCUGCAAACAUGCUACAAUGGCCGGUACAAAGGGCUGCUAUACCGCGAGGUUGAGCGAAUCCCGAGAAAGCCGGUCUCAGUUCGGAUUGAAGUCUGCAACUCGUA
rnacentral:rRNA from 1 species